UAGCCAUGUUGUGGACAUAAAUUUAUCAAAUCGUUAAAUCACUCCCAAAAUUGGAAGAAGGUCUCAUCAUUUUUUUGGCAAAAUUCAUAAUUUCUUUCCUUAAGGUA